GACAAGUUGCCAAGAGGUUAAGGCACUGGUUUCAUAAGCCAGCAUGCGCAAGUUCGAAUCUUGCCUUGUCUA